GCAUCGGUGGUUCAGUGGUAGAAUUCUCGCCUGCCACGCGGGCGGCCCGGGUUCGAUUCCGGGCCGAAGCA
rnacentral:tRNA from 1 species